rnacentral:lncRNA from 1 species
UUUUAUCCCCGUCUUACCACGCGCCCUACCCAUGUAAUUAUCCCUCCUCACAUUUCUUGACCACAAAGGAAAAGAAAAAUGGACAGCUGUACAAAGUUGAGGCCAUUUUUACUCUCUUUUGGAUUUGAGAGGAAAAAAAACAUACAAUAUAUUUUCCAGGGGGCCCACAGAUUUUCUUCCACUAGAAAUACCCUCACAAGUCAUCUUCUUCAGAGGGACAAUCUUCAUAUUCACGCACCAGCUCACAGAAACAAUACUAAUACACACACCAGUGAGAGAGAGAUAUAGACGCACACCCGCAGAGAGAAUCAUAGGAGAAAGAGAGAAUCGGGAGAGAGUGAAUAAAAAAGGGGUUGAAUAGUGGUCGGUUGGCGUGAACAGUAAACGUUGAACGGAGUAGGGGGAAGAACAGUUUUUCCCGGUGAGCUUGUCACUGGAAUAGUGCCUCAUCGUAGAGUCCGUCCACUCCUCCCUAAAACUCAAUCAAAACCAGCUUCAAACCCCCUAAAAUUAUGACGCUAGUGCCCGACUACUCCGCCGCCACCGCUGUUACUAUUUCGGCAAUGAAUUUUUCGCCUGGAAUGAGCCAAAUCGAUCAAAAUCGUCCCAAAAAUAUUGAGAAAAUAGUGAGUUCACCUUGGGUUUUCGACAGUUAAGUUAGAGGUCUGUUUGUGAUUUGGUAUUGGAAAAAAAAGGAACAAAGGGGAUAUAUCGAAGUUGGAGUUGUUCGUUUGGUGAGGCUCGAUCUGAGAUUAUGGACGCGAUCCAAUCGAAAGGAGCAACUUUAAUCGAAAGCAACAUUUGAGGUUCAAUUCUAUCUUCUCUAUUUUUUUUGUAGUUUUUAACAUAAUUAUGAAUGAUUUAUGUGUUUGGCAUGUUUGAAUCUUCGUUAUGUGUGGGUUGAUGUUGGAUUUGGAUAUGAAAACUUGAUCGGUGGAUUGUAUAUUGAAUUGGUUUAAUCGUGUUAAAAAAGUUGAGGCGCGAAUUGAAAAUUUACUAAAGUGAAUUAGGAUUAAUUUUGAUUUAUUGUUAUUUUGAUUCAUUGACGCCAUCGAUCAUGAUAGUGCCAUGAUAGGUCGAGUUAGGUAGGCAAAAGUAGGCUGGGUAGGCAAAGUUGAGGACCUGUGAUUGUUGAAAUGAUGAAAUAUUUGUGGAGUGGUUUUGAUUUAUGCACUGAGAUCUAUUGUAUUCAUUUGGCCGGGGAAUGCCCCGAGGGAUUUGUAUUGAUUCACCGGGGAAUGCCCCGACGUAUCAUGUAUUCGGAGGACGUCCGUGAUGAAGGCCCGAAGCAUCGGGUAAGGCAUUGGACAUAGUUUAGGAUUAGUGUAGGUUAGCGUAGGUUUAUUUUUCAGUACCUUUUUUAUCAUUUCGGGUUGUAAUAAUUGGACUGGACAUUAUUAUUUUGAUUUUUGGAUUGUUGUUUGAUGUUUGUUUAUGUGCUUUGUGUGGUUUAUAUAUUUGUGGUGUCUAAUUAGCCGAUACUCUCCACCAAGAGACCAUGGUCGAACCACGGGACCGAGGGGUGCCUAACACCUUCCCCUCGGUCAACAAAAUUCCUUAGUUGAAACCUCUGUUCGCGGAUCAGUUUUACAGAGUCAAAAUCGUUUUGAAAAGGAUUUUCCAAAGGUGACUUGGCACACCGGAUUAUGCCAAGUGGUGACUCUGAGUUUUGAAUAUAAAUAAUUCUUUUCGAAAUAAAUUUUUAUUUUUUGUCACUUUGAUAAUAAAAAUCCUUUCAAACUUAAAACGAAAUCUUUUUUGGGUAAAAAAAGGGUGUGACAGCUCUGGCGACUCUGCUGGGGACUUUUUUUUAGAAUUCAAGCUUAUUUUGGAGUUGUAUCGACUUAGUUUGGCACUAUAGGUAUAUAGACAUUUUGUUUGUGUUGUUUUGUGUUAUUGUUUAUCAUUGUUGAGUGCCUACGUGCUCUUUGUUUACAAUUUUUAUUUUAUGUGUUACCGUUUUAUAUCUGGCAUCAUGUGUAUAACCCGAGCCAUUCUUUCUGCAACAAGUCUAUAGUAUACGCUAUGUACACGACCUCUAGUUGAGUCACCUUUAUCUUAGGGGGGAGUCUUCGACUGGUAUGGAGUGGGUGGAAAGCUAAAACAACCACUAUCGACCAUAUGCUCUCCCGAACAGCCUUGUUAGUGAAUCCCAGCGUAGGUCAGCUUUUAGGUCAUGCUUAUCUGCAUCAUAUUGAGACCUAGCGGGACUCACUUGGUCUUUUGUAGGAGACUCACCUCUAAGGCAUCCCUACGUGCUAAAUGUUACAUCUUUGAGGGUAACGUGGUCAUUUGACGGACUAAUUUAAGGGAAAACAUGUGCUAGAGGUAAAGUGCGUAGACAAGAAAUCAUUUGAAAAAAAAAGGAGUUUCGUAGCUUUUAGUGUUCUUUAUGACUUUUGUUUCCCACAAUUCAAAAAUUCAAAAAGAUUUCUUUAUUUUCUGCACUCAUUUUUUUAAAAACCAAAACAUCAAAAAGAUUUCUCACUUUGUCUCCUUUAGCAUGCAUUCAUAAUUAGAAAUUUUCAAAAAAAAAAAAAAUUAGCAGUUUUUAUAAAAGAAAUUGAAAAAUGGUGAAAGAUUUGUACAUUUCAUAUAGUGAAAAUGUCAAAAAGAUUUUCCUUCAUAAUUGUUGGUGUCAGUUUAGCUGAAGUAUCUAAUUAAAAACCCAAAAAUAUUUUAUUCAUUUGUCUUUGGUUGUGUCUCUUAAGUUAGGGUCAAUUUGUUAGACUAUCGUUAAUUGUACAAUCUGGACGAACUACGCACCCGUGAUUCUGCUCUCUCCGGAGUGAGAUACAUAGGUAACCUAUUUUGGGUUGGGGAUCUUAUUUCAAAAAUUCAAAAAAAGAUUUUCUUCACUCUUCAUUUAGAGUAGGUGUUUCAUGUACAUCUUUAAAAGAAAACAACAAAAAAAUAUUUCCCUUUAAUAGGUUCAGGUUUCAUUUUCAUAUGAAAUUCAAAAUCAAAAAUCAAAAAAUAUUUUUUUCGGUAAUCAUAGAUUUCAUUUUGUACAGAAAUCUGAAAAAUUCAAAAAGAUUUUCUUCACUCUUCACUUAGAGUAGGUGUUUCAUAUACAUCUCUAAAAAACUACAAAAAGAUUUUUCUUUAAUAGUUUGAAGUUUCAUUUUCCUAUGAAAUUCAAAAUCGAAAACCCUAAAAGAUUUUUAUUUGGUAAUCAUGGGUUUCAUUUUGUAUAGGGAUGUUAAGACUAAAAAAUGCAAAAAAAGAUUUUCGUCAAUUCUUUUGACAAUUUGUUAUUUUCUUUUCUUCUUAAAGUUUCAAAAAGAAAACAAAGAGUUCAAUUGGCCGUUUUGGCACGACUUAACGAACUACGCACACCUGAUUCUCCUCUCUCGGUGGUGAGAUACGUAGGUGCCCUUCUUGGGUUCGGUGAUCUUUUCAAGAAAAAAAAGGGAGAGAGAGGUUUUGAAAAAUGUUGAACUCUAACAUAUUUGUUGCCUCUUGUUCAGUUAGUUUAAGGUGGUUGGUUUGUGGCUUACUGGUUGGUCCUCCAUAUCACACCAAAUCCAAGGAGGGGUUAGUUGUGUCCAACAAGGAUAUAGAAAGUGGCAUCAUGGAUGAAACAAAGAUUCAGGAAAUUGAGAGUUUAAAGAAAGAGAAUUUGAGACUGAGACAACAAGUGAUGGAAAUAUACCGAGCUUGGACCAGUGGGCUGCCUCCACCUCUGUUUCCCACUUUUGGCCCUGCAAAUACCUUGAGUCUUCCACCAAAAUCGUAAAGUCAGUUUCUGUCUUCUUAUCCACAAUGGCAUGCUCCUGUCCCUCAACAUCGUCCUCGACCCCCACGAAUUUACCAAGGAACCUCUAAAUCCAAGUUUCAUCUAAGGCUAGAGUUAGUGUUGUAAAACAUUUCAUAAGUGAUCUUUAUCGUGCAAUUUUGUAUUGCAUGCUAUGUACUAGCAUUUUCAAAAAUUGAUAUGACGAAGGCAUUUCAUUCUGCUUUCCAAAUAUUGUGUCAUCCUUUGUUUACCCCAUUUGGGCCUUAGUGUUAUUUUCUUUUAUACCCCUCUUUUGGAAUCAAGAUAAAGUCAACAAAAUCCAAAAAAAGUGUCGAAAAAGAAAAAAAAGAUGAGUGUCAAGAAAAAUAAAGUCAGAAAAGUCCCAAAGAUAAAAAGAGUCGACAAAAGAAAAAAAAUAGAAUCAAGUGAAAGAACAAGUUGCCAGAACUACGCAUGACUUGAUUCUCCUCUCUCGAGGGUGAGAUACGUAGGCUGCCUUACUCAGGGCUCGGUCCAACCAAAUAAAUAAUUUAGAAUUGCCCAGUCAAAAAUUGGGGCUUGAGUUAAUCCUCAUUGUUUGAGUCGAUUCCAAAAGUUGUAAGUCCUACCCCACUUUUAGUAUUGUUUGGGCCCCAUGCCAUCCUUUAUUUUCAACCCUAUCCAAAAGCCAAGUUACAAUCAAAGAAAGACCUUCAGAUCAAUCUUUGAGAAUGUUAAGGCUAAGUAUGCAAUGGAUGUGAUGACACAUUUUGAGAACUACUCGUCUUCCUCAGCAUAAAAAAUCAGGAGAGAAAUAAAAAUGAGAGAGUUUUAUUGGUGAAAACCCUCACGGGCACCAUAAGGAGAUGGUAAAUUAAGAAAGAUAAAAAUGAGAGAGUUUUAUUAGUGAAAACCCUCACAGACACCAUAAGGCGAUGGUGAGUUGAGAGAAAAAUGAGAGAGGCUUGUUUGAGAAAACCCUUCAAGGUGCCACUAGCCGAAUGAGGUCUCCGAAUGCAAUGGGUCUAAGUAAGAAACUCAGUUUCAGGGCCAUUAACUCAACAACAAUUGGUAGAAAGUUUGGAUGAAAAGAUCAGGCUGCUUAAUCCAAAAUGCACAGUAUAAUUAUUAGAGUUGACUGUCAUUUUUAGAUUAAUUUAUUGUUUCUUUGUUACAAAUGAGGAUAUUCAUUUUCUUUCCUUUCUUUUCUUUAUUUUUAUUUUAUCUUUCUUGAGUCAGUUAUCCAAAUAAAAAAAUUGUCUUUCUUUUUUUUCUUUUCUUGUCUUUGAGUCAAGUCCAUGUCAAAACAAGUGAGAAAAGAUUUUAAAACUGGCUAUCAGCUUCUUCAAUUGCACAAAGCAAGACAAAAGGGACAGCACAUGCAAAAGACAUGAUUGUGAGCCGAAAUAAGGCAUACAAAAAUUGUGUCAACAGACAAGUUUGGGAACUCAUGAAAAUACCAAGGUUCAAAGGGUUUAUAUGAUGAGCAUGACGAAGCAGAGAUAUCAUUUUAUUUCAGAGUCACUUUUAAUAAACUGAAUUUAGGUCAAUGAUGCAGCAAGUCAAUGAUAAAUGCUAAUGGUUGGAAGCAAGGUUAAAUGUGAUGGGGCAAGAGCGAUCGUCGCGAAAGCUAAAGCCACAAACCAGCCACCGUGUUUUAAACUCACAAGUUUUCUUUGAUGAAAUAGGAAACAUAUUACCUUCAAAGCAAGGACGUCAGAGCAUAAAUAUCAAGGCUUUCAAUGCCUCACGUUUAAAUAUGCACGAAGAAAUGUUGCUGCACAGGUUUGGUAAUCAAAUCAUUGUAAAAUUCAUCAUCUUAUAUCCCUCGGAGACACAUUUUCUUGUCCAGGGAUUUCAUUUUUCAUUUGCUGGGUGAUACACUUCUUAAAUUGAUCCUUCACUCCUAAAAGACGUACCUUUUAGUCGAGUCAUCCCCUUUGACCCCAAAAGACGUACCUUUUAGUAGAGUCAUUUCCUUUGAUUCCUAUAAGACAUACCUUUUACUCGAAUCAUUCCCGCUUGACUCCUAGAAGACGUACCUUUUAGUCGAGUCAUUCCCCUUAACCCCUAGAAGACGUACCUUUUAGUCGAUUCAUUCCUUUGAUUCCUAUAAGACGUACCUUUUAGUCGAGUCAUUCCUCUUGACCCCUAGAAGAAGUACCUUUUAGUAGAGUCAUUUCCUAUGAUUCCUAUAAGACGUACCUUUUAGUCGAGUCAUUCCUCUUGAGGCCUUGACCCCUAGAAGACGUACCUUUUAGUUGAGUCAUAUCCCUUGAUUCCUAUAAGAUGUACCUUUUAGUCGAGUCAUUCCCCUUGAGUCCUUGACCCCUAGAAGACGUACCUUUUAGUUGGGUCAUAUCCCUUGAUUCCUAUAAGACGUACCUUUUAGUCGAGUCAUUUCCUUUGAUUCCUAUAAGACGUACCUUUUACUUGAGUCAUCACCCCUUGAUUCCUAUAAGACGUACCUUCUAGUCGAGUCAUUCCCUUGAUUCCUAUAAGACGUACCUUUUAGUCGAGUCAAUUUCUUUGAUUCCUAUAAGACGUACCUUAUAGUCGAGUCAUUCUCCUUGAUUCCUAUAAUGAUGUGACUUUCACAAAAGUCCUUUGAUAAUAAACUGGGGCAAAAUUUAAUUCUUAUUUUUGGAACUUUACUUUUCUGGCAAACAAAAUUUCUCUUUAUGAAAAACUUUGUUUGGGAUAAUUUUCUUGUUAGUUUUGAUAUGAUUUCAGAAGCCCGCCUGAAGAACAGGGUGAUGAGAUAGAAAGUCAGGAGCCCACCUGAAGAACAGGGAUGAUGAAAUGGCAAGUCAGGAACCCGCCUGAAGAAUAGGGUGAUUAAAUAGUAAGUCAGGAGCCCUCCUGAAGAAUAGGGCGGAUAAAUGGAAAAUCUAGAACAAGGUGAAAAAAAUCUGAAAAAACAAGCAAAAAGGUGAAGCAAUUGAAAGUCAAGCAACAAGUUGAAUAAAUUGCAAAUCAGGAGCCCACCUGAAGAAUAGUGUGAUGAAACUUAAGUCAAGAGUCCAAAAGAAGAUGCAUAGAUAGAAUUUCUGUAAUUUUAUUUAUGUUUUUAACUCGUAAUUUUCAUUUUGAUGUAAUGAUAGAGCUGUGGACCGAAACCUUGAUGGAACCUCACUCGACUCUCCAACUCGGUAUAGUCCUUCUCUUUCAAAUAUUUUGAAAUACUGGUCCCUUGAUUCCUCCAUAACUUCGGUAGAUAGGUUGUCCUAAGUCAGGACUCGGUUGUCUUUCUUUCUUUUGUUCCUUCCUUUGAAUAAUGAUCGGGUCAAAAUUCUGUCUUGUUGUCUACUAUUUUGUCUGAAAACACUUCGUGUUUACAUUCAAAGGGGGCAUGAGGUAGACACCUAAUUUUGUCCCUCCUAAAGACCCAAGUUACACAUUUUAUCCUCGUUUUACCACGCGCCCUACCCUAUGUAAUUAUUCCUACACAAAAUGAUAAAUAUAACAACCCUUAGCAAAUUUUAUCUUUGUUCUAACAACCUCCUCAAUUAAAAGCGGACACCUCACCACCCCACUACCCCAUCCACGUGACCCUCCCUCCUCACAUUUCUUGACCACAAAGGAAAAUAAAAACGGACAACUGUACAAAGUUGUGGCCAUUUUUGCUCUCUUUUGGAUUUGAGAGGAACAAAAACUUACAAUAUAUUUCCCAGGGGCCCCACAGAUUUUCUUCCAUUAGAAAUACCCUCACAAGUCAUCUUCUUCAGAUGGACAAUCUUCAUAUUCACGCACCAGCUCACAGAAACAAUACGAAUACACACACCAGUGAGAGAGAUAUAUAGAUGUACACACUCAUAGAGAACCAUAGGAGAAGGAGAGAAUCGGGAGAGAGCGAAUAAAAAAGGGGUCUGAACAGUGAUCGGCCGAUGUGAAUAGUAAAUGCUGAACGGAGUAAGGGGAAGAACAGCUUUUCCCGAUGAGCCUGUCACCAAAAAAGUACCUCAUCGUAGAGUCCGUCCACUCCUCCCUAAAACCCAAUCGAAACCAGCUUUAAACUCCCUAAAAUUGUGACGCCAGUGCCCGACUACUCCGCCGCCGCCACUGUUACUGUUCCAGCGAUGGAGUUUUCGCCUAGAAUGCACCAAAUUGGUCAAAAUCGUCCCAAAAAUAUCAAGAAAACAGUGAGUUCACCUUGGGAUUUCAACAGUUAAGUUAGAGGUCUGUUUGUGAUUUGGUAUUGGUGAAAAAUGGAACAAAGGGGAUAUAUCGAAGUUGGAGUUGUUCGUUUGAAGAGGCUCGAUCCGAGAUUAUGGAUGCGGUCCAAUUGGAAGGAACAACUUUAAUCUAAAGCAACAUUUGAGGUUCAAUUCUAUCUUCUCUAUUUUUUUUUAGUUUUUAACAUAAUUAUGAAUGAUUUAUGUGUUUGGCAUGUUUGAAUCUUCGUGAUGUGUGGGUUGAUGUUGGAUUUGGAUAUGAAAACUUGAUCGGUGGAUUUUAUAUUGAAUUGGUUUAAUCAUAUUAAAAAAGUUUGGGCGCGAAUUGAAAAUUUUCUAAAGUGAAUUAGGAUUAAUUUUUAUUUAUUGUUAUUUUGAUUCAUUGACGCCGUCGAUCAUGAUAGUGCCAUGAUAGGUCAAGUUAGGUAGGCAAAAGUAGGUUGGGUAGGCAAAGUUUAGGAUCUGUGAUUGUUGAAAUGAUGAAAUAUUUGUGGAGUGGUUUCGAUUUAUGCAUUGGGAUCUAUUGUAUUCAUUUGGCCGGGGAAUGCCCCGAGGGAUUUGUAUUGAUUCACCGGGGAAUGCCCCGACGUAUCAUGUAUUCGGAGGACGUUCGUGAUGAAGGCCCGAAGAAUCGGGUAAGGCAUUGGAUCGUAGUUUAGGAUUAGUGUAGGUUAGCGUAGGUUUAUUUUUCAGUACCUUUUUUUCAUUUUGGGUUAUAAUAAUUGGACUGGACAUUAUUAUUUUGGUUUUUGGAUUGUUGUUUGAUGUUUGUUUAUGUGCUUUGUUUGGUUUAUACAUUUGUGGUGUCUAAUUAGCCGAUACUCUCCACCAAGAGACCAUGGUCGAACCAUGGGACCGAGGGGUGCCUAACACCUUUCCCUCGGUCAAUAAAAUUCCUUAGUCGAAAUCUCUGUUCGCGGAUUAGUUUUACAGAGUCAAAAUCAUUUUGAAAAGGGUUUUCCAAAGGUGACUUGGCACACCAGAUUAUGCCAAGUGGCGACUCUGAGUUUUGAAUUUAAAUAAUUCUUUUCAAAACAAACUUUCAUUUUUUGUCACUUUGAUAAUAAAAAUCCUUUCAAACUUAAAACAAAAUCGUUUUUGGGUAAAAAAAAAAGGGUGUGACAGCUCUGGCGACUCUGCUGGGGACUUUUUUUUAGAAUUCGAGCUUAUUUUCAAAUUGUAUCGGCUUAGUUUGGCACUAUAGGUGUAUAGACAUUUUAUUUGUGUUGUUUUGUGUUAUUGUUUAUCAUUGUUGAGUGCCUACGUGCUCUUUGUUUACAGUUUUUAUCUUAUGUGUUACCGUUUUAUAUCUGGCAUCAUGUGCAUAACCCGAGUCAUUCUUUCUGCAACAAGUCUGUAGUACACGCUAUGUACACGACCUCUAGUUGAGUCACCCUUAUCUUAGGGGGGAGCCGUCGGCUGGUAUGGAGUGGAUGGAAAGCUAAAGCAGCCACUAUCGACCAUAUGCUCCCCCGAAUAGCCUUGUUAGUGAACCCCAGCGUAGGUCAGCUUUUAGGUCAUGCUUAUCUGCAUCACAUUGAGACCUAGCGGGACCCACUUGGUCUGUUGUAGGAGACUCACCUCUAAGGCAUCCCUACGUGCUAAAUGUUGCAUCUUUGAGGGUAACGUGGUCAUUUGACGGACUGAUUUGAGGAAAAAUAUGUGCUAGAGGUAAAGUGCGUAGACAAGAAACCGUUUGAAAAAAAAAAAGGUGUUCCGUAGAUUUUAGUGUUCUUUAUGGCUUUUGUUUUCCAUAAUUCAAAAAUUCAAAAAAAAAUCUUUAUUUUCUGCACUCAUUUUUUUAAAAACCAAAACAUCAAAAAGAUUUCUCACUUUGUCUCCUUUAGCAUGUAUUCAUAAUUAGAAAUUUUCAAAAAAAAAAAAAAUAGUAGUUUUUAUAAAAGAAAUUGAAAAAUGGUAGAAGAUUUGUACAUUUCAUAUAGCGAAAAUGUCAAAAAGAUUUUUCUUCAAAAUUGUUGGUGUCAGUUUAGCUGAAGUGUCUAAUUAAAAACCAAAAAAGAUUUUAUUUGUUUGUCUUUGGUUGUGUCUCUUAAGUUAGGGUCAAUCUGUUAGUUAAUCGUUAAUUGUAGAAUCUGGACGAACUACGCACCCCUGAUUCUCCUCUCUCGGGAGUGAGAUACGUAGGCAACCUAUUUUGAUUUCGGGGAUCUUAUUUCAAAAAUUCAAAAAAAGAUUUUCUUCACUCUUCAUUUAGAGUAGAUGUUUCAUGUACAUCUUUAAAAGAAAACAACAAAAAAAUAUUUCCCUUUAAUAGGUUCAGGUUUCAUUUUCGUAUAAAUUCAAAAUCAAAAAUCCAAAAAUAUUUUUUUUGGUAAUCAUAGAUUUCAUUUUGUACAGAAAUCUGAAAAAUUCAAAAAGAUUUUCUUCACUCUUCAUUUAGAGUAGAUGUUUCAUGUACAUCUUUAAAAGAAAACAACAAAAAAAUAUUUCCCUUUAAUAGGUUCAGGUUUCAUUUUCGUAUAAAUUCAAAAUCAAAAACCCUAAAAAACUUUUCUUUGGUAAUCAUGGGUUUCAUUUUGUAUAGGGAUGUUAAGCCUAAAAAAUGCAAACAAAAAAGAUUUUCGUCAAUUCUUUUGACAAUUUGUUAUUUUCUUUUCUUCUUAAAGUUUCAAAAAGAAAAAAAAAGAAAACAAAGAGUUCAAUUGACCGUUUUGGCACGACUUCACGAACUACACACACCUGAUUCUCCUCUCUCGGGGGUGAGAUAUGUAGGUGCCCUUCUUGGGUUCGGUGAUCUUUUCAAGAAAAAAAAAGAGAGAGAGGUUUUGAAAAAUGUUGAACUCUAACAUAUUUGUUGCCUCUUGUUCAGUUAGUUUAAGGUGGUUGGUUUGUGGCUUCCUGGCUGGUCCUCCAUAUCACACCAAAUUCAAGGAGGGGUUAGUUGUGUCCAACAAGGAUAUAGAAAGUGGCAUCAUGGAUGAAACAAAGAGUAAAGAAAUUGAGAAUUUAAAGUAAGAGAAUUUGAGACUAAGACAACAAGUGAUGAAAAUGUAUAGAGCUUGGGCCAGUGGGCUGCCUCCAUCUCUGUUCCCCACUUUUGACCCUGCAAAUACCUUGAGUCUUGUACCAAAAUCGCAAAUUCAAUCUCCGUCUUCUUAUCUACAAUGGUAUGCACCUGUCCCUCAACAUCGUCCUCGACCCCCACGAAUUUACCAAGGAACCUCUAAAUCCAAGUUUCAUCCGAGGCUAGAGUUCACAAAGAGGAGGAAGGAAAAGGAUAAUUUCACUCCUAUUGAGGAUUCCUAUGCUAGUUUAUUCCAGAGAUUGAGAUAGAGGGCCAUGAUUACUCCUCUCCUUGGGUAUACACCUGACCCAUAUUCAAGAAAUUUUGAUCCUAAUGUACGAUGUGCAUAUCAUUAGGAUGUUCAGGGUCAUAGUAGUGAAGAUUGUCGUACUUUGAAAAGAGAAAUAGAAAAGAUAAUUCAAGAUAAAUUGAUUGUGGUGCAAAACAUUGGCCCUUCGACCAUCCCACAGGGUUCUUCACCAGCACGCGGUACUGCACAAUAUGUGGGAGGCAAUGAGUUAAGCAUGGGGAUCCAGAACUUAUUUGUUGAAGAAAAUAUGUCUGACAGUGGUGGAAGCUCUAGUCAUGCUGAUAUGCAAAUCAGUGGCUAAUAUGUCAGGCUGAGCAAUUGAGAAGUCACCCGUCUCCCUACAAGGAAGAGGUCUAGUAGUUUGUUUUCUUUUCUUUUCUAUUUUUUAAAUUAUUUCAGGGUUAUAGUUCGGGAUCUAUCUUGUUUUGUCCCUUUGUCAUUUAUGUUCAAACUUUUUUAUCUUUUGUUUCAAAUAUGUGUUGUUGGUUUGUUUUCUUUAUACAGUACAUUUUAUGUUGAUUCUAGUGAUAUAAUAUGCCUGCAAAAUUUUCAGUCUGAUCUUAAAAUCCCAGCUUAAUCAUGAAGCAUUGAAUCAGAGAGUUAAAGUUAGGAAAAGAGAGCAUAUGAGAAAAUAGAUAGAGUGUUGGGGCAUUUGGUGAUCAAGUUGAAGCCUUCUUUGAAAAUUAAGGCAAUUAUUUUGAGAAUCGUGAGAAUAACUUGGUUAGUAUUUGAAAGACAUGUUUCAAUUAGUUCAAACAGUGGAUGUGCGAUCCUACAUCAAAAGGAAUAGAAAAACUAGCUCCACGAAAGCAUGAGGAAUGUACAACAAAGUGGAGUUGUAUGUUAGGCAAGUGUAGAAAAACAAGUGGCACACAUGCUCGGGGCAAGUUAGUGUUGUAAAACAUUUCAUAAGUGAUCUUGAUCGUGCAAUUUCCCAUUGCAUGCUAUGUACUAGCAUUUUCAAGAAUUAAUAUGACGAAAGCAUUUCAUUCUGCUUUCCAAAUAUUGCGUCAUCCUUUGUUUACCCCCAUUUGGGCCUUAGUGUUAUUUUCUUUCAUACCCCUCUUUUGGAAUCAAGAUAGAGUCAACAAAAUUCAAAAAAUGUAUCGAAAAAGAAAGAAAAGAUGAGUGUCAAGAAAAAUAAAGUCAGAAAAGUCCCAAAGAGAAAAAGAGUCGACAAAAGAAAAAAAUACAAUCAAGUGAAAGAACAAGCUGCCAGAAAUACGCAUGACCUGAUUCUCCUCUCUCGAUAGUGAGAUACGUAGGCUGCCCUACUCAGGGCUCGGUUCCAAGCAAAUAAAUAAUUUAGAAUUGCCCAGUCAAAAACUGGGGCUUGAGUUAAUCCUCAUUGUUUGAGUCGAUUCCAAAAGUUGAAAGUCCUACCCCACUUUUAGUAUUGUUUGGGCCCCAUGCCAUCUUUUAUUUUCAACCCUAUCCAAAAGCCAAGUUACAACCAAAGAAAGACCUUCAGAUCAAUCUUUGAGAAUGUUAAGGCUAAGUAUGCAAUGGAUGUGAUGACACAUUUUGGGAACUACUCGUCUUCCUCAGCAUAAAAAAUCAGGAGAGAAAUAAAAAUGAGAGAGUUUUAUUGGUGAAAACCCUCACGGACACCAUAAGGCGAUGGUAAGUUGAGACAGAUAAAAAUAAAAGAGUAUUAUUGGUGAAAACCCUCAUGGGCACCAUAAGAUGAUGGUGAUUUGAGAGAAAAAUGAGAGAGGCUUGUUGGAGAAAACCCUUCAAGGUGCCACUAGCCGAAUAAGGUCUCUGAAUGCAAUGGGUCUAAGUAAGAAACUCAGUUUCAGGGUCAUUAACUCAACAACAAUUGGUAGAAAGUUUUGAUGAAAAGAUCAGGUUGCUUAAUCCAAAAUGCACAGUAUUAUUAUUAGAGUUGACUGUCAUUUUUAGAUUAAUUUAUUGUUUCUUUGUUUCAAAUGAGGAUAUUUAUUGUCUUUCCUUUCUUUUCUUUAUUUUUGUUUUAUCUUUCUUGAGUCAGUUAUUCAAAUAAAAAAAUUGUCAUUCUUUUUUUUUCUUUUCUUGUCUUUGAGCCAAGUCCAUGUCAAAACAAGUGAGAAAAGAUUUUAAAACUGGCUACCAGUUUCUUCAAUUGUACAAAGCAAGACAAAAGGGACAGCACAUGAAAAGACAUGAUUGUGAGCCGAAAUAAGGCAUACAAAAAUUAUGUCAAUAGACAAGUUUGGGAACUCAUGAAAAUACCAAGGUUCAAAGGGUUUAUAUGAUGAGCAUGGCGAAGCAGAGAUACCGUGUUUGUUUCAGAGUCACUCUUAAUAAUCUGAGUUUGGGUCAACGAUGCAGCAAGUCAAUGAUAAAUGCUUAUGGUUGGAAGCAAGGUUAAAUGUGAUGGGGCAAGAGCGAUCGUCGUGGAAGCUAAAGCCACAAACCAGCCACCGUGUUUUAAACUCACAAGUUUUCUUUGAUGAAAUAGGAAACAUAUUACCUUCAAUGCAAGGACUUCAGAGCAUAAAUAUCUAGGCCUGCAAUGCCUCACUUUUAAAUAUGCAUGAAGCAAUGUUGCUGCAAAGGUUUGGUAAUCAAAUCAUGGUAAAAUUCAUCAUCUUAUAUCCCUCGGAGACACACUUUUUUAUCCAGGGAUGUCAGUUUUCAUUUGCUGGGUGAUACACUUCUUAAAUUGAUCCUUCACUCCUAAAAGACGUACCUUUUAGUCGAGUCAUUCCCUUUGAUUCCUAUAAGACGUACCUUUUAGUCGAGUCAUCCCCUUUGACCCCUAAAAGACGUACCUUUUAGUAGAGUCAUUUCCUUUGAUUAAGACGUACCUUUUAGUAGAGUCAUUUCCUUUAAUUCCUAUAAGACGUACCUUUUAGUCGAGUCAUUCCUCUUGACCCCUAGAAGAUGUACCUUUUAGUCGAGUCAUUCCUUUGAUUCUUAUAAGACGUACCUUUUAGUUGAGUCAUUCCUCUUGACCCUUAGAAGACGUACCUUUUAGUAGAGUCAUUUCCUUUAAUUCCUAUAAGACGUACCUUUUAGUCGAGUCAUUCCUCUUGACCCCUAGAAGACGUACCUUUUAGUCGAGUCAAUUUCCCUGAUUCCUAUAAGACGUAUCUUUUAGUCGAGUCAUUCCCUUGAUUUCUAUAAGACGUACCUUUUAGUCGAGUCAUUCCCUUUGAUUCUUAUAAGACUUACCUUGUAGUCUAGUCAUCUCCCUUGAUUCCUAUAAGAUGUACCUUUUAGUCGAGUCAUUCCCCUUGAGGCCUUAACCCAUAGAAAACGUACCUUUUAGUUGAGUCAUCUCCCUUGAUUCCUAUAAGACGUACCUCUUAGUCGAGUCAUUUCCUUUGAUUUCUAUAAGACGUACCUUUUAGUUGAGUCAUCACCCCUUGAUUCCUAUAAGACAUACCUUACUUUCACAAAAGUCCUUUGAUGAUAAACUGGGGCAAAAUUUAAUUCUUGUUUUUGGAACUUUACUUUUCUGGCAAACGAAAUUUCUCUUUAUGAUAAUCUUUGUUUGGGAUAAUUUUUUUUCAGUUUUGAUAUGAUUUCAAGAGCCCGCCUGAAGAACAAGGUGAUGAGAUAGAAAGUCAGGAGCCCACCUGAAGAACAGGGGUGAUGAAAUGGCAAGUCAGGAACCUACCUGAAGAAUAGGGUGAUUAAAUAGUAAGUCAGGAGCCCAACUGAAAAACAGGGCGGAUAAAUGGAAAAUCAAGAACAAGGUGAAAAAGUUGAAAAGACAAGCAACAAGGUGAAGCAAUUGAAAGCCAAGCAACAAGUUGAAGAAAUUGCAAAUCAGGAGCCCGCCUGAAGAAUAGGGUGAUGAAACUCAAGUCAAGAGUCCAAAAGAAGAUGCAUAGAUAGGAUUUUUGUAAUUCCAUUUAUGUUUUUAACUCGUAAUUUUCAUUUUGAUGUAAUGACAGAGCUGUGGACCGGAACCUCGAUGGAACCUCACUCGACUCUCCAACUUAGUAUAGUCCUUCUCUUUCAAAUAUUUUGAAAUACCGGUCACUUGAUUCAUUCAUAACUUGGGUAGAUAGGUUGUCCUAAGUCAGGACUCGGUUGUCAUUCUUCCUUCUGUUCCUUCCUUUGAAUAAUGGUCGGGUCAAAAUUCUAUCUCAUUGUCUACUAUUUUGUCUGAAAACACUUCGUGUUUACAUUCAAAGGGGGCAUGAUGUAGACACCUAAUUUUGUCCCUCCCGAAGACCCAAGUUACACAUUUUUAUCCUCGUCUUACCACGCGCCCUACGCCAUGUAAUUAUCCCUACACAAAAUGACAAAAAUAAUAAUCCUUAAAAAAUUUUAUCUUUGUUCUAACAAACUCCCCAAUUAAAAGCGGACACCUCACCACCCCACUACCCCAUCCACGUGACCCCCCCUCCUCACAUUUCUUAACCACAAAGGAAAAGAAAAAC